rnacentral:lncRNA from 1 species
CCCUUGCUUUUUUUUUUUAAACAUAUUUAUUUAUUUAGUUAGUUAUUGGCAGACACAACAUCUUUGUUGGUAUGUGGUGCUGAGGAUCGAACCCGGGCCACACGCAUGCCAGACGAGCGUGCUACCGCUUGAGCCACAUCCCCAGCCCCAAAUCCCUUGCUUUUAACAGUGCAAAUAUUCUUUCCUGGUCCAGAGUCUUUUCCAUUUUACGUUAACUCACUUUCUGUUUUGGCCGACCUUCCUUAGCUACACAGACGCAUACACACACCCUGGAACAGGGGGAGCCACACCUCCUCCUUUUCUGGCAACAGUGGAUCCUUUUGUUGCCCACUCCCUCCCCACUGCACAGGGCUCCCUUUAUGCAGGGGCCCCACAGACUUUGCCUGUCCAAAAGCUUGGGUCAUUCAAAUGCAAACCGUUCUAUGUAAAUAUUUCAGUCCCAGCUCUCUGCAGACUCAGAGGGGUUUUCUUGGGUGCUGCCCUCUCCUUCCUGUGUUCUUUGGUCAGCUUCUCCUUUGCCCUGAGGAAAAACUCAGCUGGGACCUCCAGCACCCUCUCCAGCUCCUCCCUCCUCCCUCCCUCAAAGCCCCAUCAGAGUCACAGAAGGUUAACACCCUCCUCAGCCAGGCCUCUUCUCAGUGGGGGGAUCCGGACCUCAGGGGCACGGGUGAAGUCUGAAGACAGCGUUGGUCAUCACGUCUUGGGAGUGUCAUUAGCCCCCAGCUGGUGGCUGCUUACCAUCUCCAAUGCACGGGACAGCCCCCACUCCAUACAGGAUUUUCUAGCCCCACAUGCUAACCAUGCUGAAUUGAGAAACCCCUGAGCCCUGGGACUGACUCUAAAGAUAACCAGGAGAGACUAUGAGAACUUUGGACGGGACCCUUCCAGAAGAAUCCAGCCUGGUUCCUGUGCCCCCUAGUGACCCUCCCAGGACACAGAUGUGGGCCUGUGGGCCUUGCUGGACUCUCUCAGAGUCAGGAACAAAGUUCUUCUGGAGCCUGGUUGGUGGCACCUCUGCACUCAGAACAUGGCCCGGUCCCACCUGCUGCCCGUGGAAGGUGGCUGUACGGGCCCUGCACCCUUGGUGACCCCAUCUGUUUUCCUUACCUGAUCUGCACCCAGGGACCCAAGCUCCUUAGAGCUUCCGUCACUUUCUUGGGACUCACUGAACCCAUUCAGGUGUGCCCCAAACUGCUCAGGGAAAUGUUUAUCACCUGGAGCUGCAGAGUGGCUUUGACCCUGGGUUAGGAAGACUCCAGGGUUCUGUGGCCGCGGAGAUGGCUGGGCACCACCGUCUGUCUCACCAGGCAUCCAGGACAGAGCCCGAGUGAGCAGGGUCUCAGCCUUCCUGCCAAACUUAUGCUGGGUCCUGCC